GAUCUGCGAGGAAAGAACAGAAAGAAAAAGCACUUCAUUUGUGAUGGCAGAGAAGGCAUGUGGGAGGCCAUGAUGCAAUUGGAAAACAAGCAGUGCUCUCCCACAACAUGAAACGAACUACACCUCUGAAUGAGCGCUUAGGACGUAAAGCAACAAUUCCAAAGCUAUGCUGUUCUGCAGUUUUCCUCUUUGAUAUCUCUGAUUCCCUACAUUCAUUUCUUAUCCCAUCUGGUGACUUGGAGGGCUCUGAUGAUUUGGAAGUAUGCGAGAUCUCCAAUCGAUUCUGUGUGCUCCCUUGCUUAUGUGUUUUACUUCUAGAGCCUUCUGAAAAUGACGCCUUAUCCACUGAAGAGAUGUACUGCUUGUCCUGCAAUUUAGCUGAUGGAGGCUCAUUUCCCUUGCUCUCUGUCUCUUCAGAGAAGGCAGGGCUGCUGACCCAGGGUCUUAUUGUGAAGUUCUUCAGAUGGAAACGCUUCAGGAGCAAUGGAAGAAGAACCCAUUUUGAUGGGCUCAGGAGUAUUGGAUAGAGGCUUCUGCUGAGAGAUGAGGUUUUCUCCUAGGGGUUUAGCAGGAGCAGAGGGUUCAUCUUUGUGUGGGGAGAGUGCUUCUUCAGAUACUGAAGGUGACUUUCUUUGUUGAUGCACCAUUCUUUCACUCAUGGAAGAAUUAGGAAUCGGAGAUGUUUCUGCAGGAAGUGGCAAACUGGAUACAAAAGUGGUCUCAGACGUGAGAAGCAUGGAAGACACUGAAGAAGUUUCCGAUGUCAAAGGUAAAUCAGACAUCGGUGAUGCUUCUGAUGUUAAAACUACAUUGGAUACUGGCGAUGCUUCAGAUGGCAAUGUGCUGGACACCUCAGAACAAAAUGUCGUUUCAAGGGAGGCUGGAGUACAUGAUUCUUCAGAUGUGGAUUGGGUUUCUCCUCCUGGGGACGGCAGGCUGGUGCAGGCUCCCUCUGGGCUCUCAGAGGAGAAAGAAGUUUCAGAGAUGCAAGCAUUUUCUGAAAGCUGUUCAUCGGGAUCACUCUGUAGCUCCAUAUCCACAGCAAUUCCUUCAUGUGGAAAUUGGCCUUCUAAAGACGAUGACCCUGUUUUUAUUUUUGAAGUGUUGGUCUCUAUUGCGAUUUCUGGUUCCUUAAGUUCUGCGUCACUGACAUGAGUCACAGAUGAAGUGGAAGGAACAAGAGAAUCACAGACUUCUAGUUGAUCAAUAACAACUGACAUUUCUUCCUGCAGAGGUUCUGAUUUCUCUUCUAUCUUAACUUCAAUAUGAGGCAAAGUUUCUAAAACAUCAUUCAUCACAACACAGGAUUCUAAGUUGCCAUCAUGGGGUGCUGCUAUUAGGGGCUCUUUAUGAGAGGUGGUUGGACUCUCACACUCCUCUGAAAAUUCAUGUAUUGUCUUGUGAUUUUCAUCGUGGCAGUCACAGAUACUAGUCUCUACUUCUUCUGCAAUUUCCUCCUGAAUCACAGCUUCCUCGGGGAUCAAAAUAUCCUCUGAUUCCAAAUCUGCCAUUACGUCUUUAGCUGGAACUUCGACCAUUGGACAUACUGUAGCACAGAAAUCAGGUUGUGAAGAAGCAGAACUUUGCAUGCUUUGGGGCUGUUGUUCUUCCAAGGGGGUCUGCGCAGAAGAACCCUGAAGACCAGUGGUCCCACGUGAAGAACUAGCUUCAGCUCCAUUAUUAUUUGGUCCAGAAGUAAGCUUCAUAGACUCCUCUCUUGACAUGCCCAACCUGAACAAAAAUUAGAUAUAUUAAAUUACUGCUCAACCACAUAACAUGAAAGAUACAACUUGGAUCUCUCUCAUAGUAUUUACUUCUAUUCGAUAGAAGUAAAUGAAUUGAAUUAAUCUUAUAUCCCACUUAGUGAAAUAAUUCAUUUAUGUAAAAUAGUUUAUAAUGAUAUAGUUUCUCCACUACCUUUAUAACCAUAACUAAAACAAACUCUACUUCUGGGUAAGAAAGAGAUUUUUAUUGUGUAAGCAAGAAAAUACAGACCUUAGCAAGUAUUCAUAAAGCCAAUAAUAAAAUCCCAAAUAAAAAAGAUCAGAAAAUAUGGGCAGAAAAGCAAAGGAAUGUGUAAGAUAUAACUUUUUUGAAGUCAGAUGGUAGAAAGAUGCCCUAAUAACAGAAAAUUAUGUGGAUUUCAGAUUAUGCGACACAGUUAAUUAAGAUCCAUGGAAAAUGAAGAAAAUACACAAAAUUCUGAAAUUGAAAUGACACCCAAAGAUUAGUUCUCUUAAAGUAAUCUAAGAAAUGUUACUCAAUCACCAUAUUUCAGUAUCUAAUUUGAAAUAUGGAAACUCUUCUAAAUAAGUUAUUCUAACAGAUUCCAUUUGUGUGAAGCAAAACUUUUAAAUGCAUUCAUGUAGAAGGCCUUACUAUAAAGCUAUUCCAUACGAGGUAGUAAAGAAAAUCAAUAAAUAAUCCAGCCUAAUAUUCAGCAGGCAAAGCUAUUCAGAAUUACAAUUAUGUAUACUCUAAGACACUGGUUUUUUUCAUAUUAAAUUAUAACAUCAGCAUCAGAAGAUAGAGAUACAUGCUAUUCUAAAUGAAGUUUAAACAGGGAAUAAGCAAUGACAAAAAUAAGUAUAAGAGAGACUACUAACAAAGAAACACAGUGAAAAAAUAUAGCUAUAGUAGUAUUGAUGUAAGAAAUGUCAGUGAAAUCCAUUUUAGUCUUUUAUUUAAAUAAAAUUCCCAAACUGUAAAAUUGAA